rnacentral:rRNA from 1 species
UACCAGCACCCCGAGUGGUCGGGACGUUUAUUGGGCCUAAAGCAUCCGUAGCCGGUUCUGCAAGUCUUCCGUUAAAUCCACCUGCUUAACAGAUGGGCCGCGGAAGAUACUAUAGAGCUAGGAGGCGGGAGAGGCAAGCGGUACUCGAUGGGUAGGGGUAAAAUCCGUUGAUCCAUUGAAGACCACCAGUGGCGAAGGCGGCGUUGCCAGAACGCGCUCGACGGUGAGGGAUGAAAGCUGGGG